AACGAACGCUGGCGGCAUGCCUAACACAUGCAAGUCGAACGAGACCUUCGGGUCUAGUGGCGCACGUGUGCGUAACGCGUGGGAACCUGCCCUUAGGUUCGGAAUAACUCCCCGAAAGGGGUGCUAAUACCGGAUAAUGUCUUCGGACCAAAGAUUUAUCGCCUUUGGAUGGGCCCGCGUUGGAUUAGCUAGUUGGUAGGGUAAAAGCCUACCAAGGCGACGAUCCAUAGCUGGUCUGAGAGGAUGAUCAGCCACACUGGGACUGAGACACGGCCCAGACUCCUACGGGAGGCAGCAGUGGGGAAUAUUGGACAAGGGGCGAAAGCCUGAUCCAGCAAUGCCGGGUGAGUGAUGAAGGCCUUAGGGUUGUAAAGCUCUUUUACCCGGGAUGAUAAUGACAGUACCGGGAGAAUAAGCUCCGGCUAACUCCGUG
rnacentral:rRNA from 1 species